AAAAUGGAGAAUUGUGAAAACCACGUGUGGAUGUUUACCUUCACAGUUUAAUAAGAUCGGUAAAAUAUGUCCAGCGGGAGCAAGAUAUUUACUGGUUACCGUGCACUGGGGUUUGUUAGUGACCAUGUCCCCCUUGCCACGCGAUAUAACAAGAGACUGAAGGAGAACUAUGUCAUAACAAGCGUGGGAAAUGCUUUUCACACAUACAACUGCUCCAAGCUAGGAAUAACACAAAUAAGUGAUAAACACCCAGACAGCAUCACCUGUAUAGCAGUCAACAACAGAUAUGUAUUUACCGGGUGUGGAAACCAAGUGCGAGCCUUCAAGAGAAGCCGACAGCUUGUUCACACCUUUGAUGGUCACAGUGUUGAGGUUCACCUGCUCCUUCCCUUUGGAAACCAUCUCAUUUCAGUGGAUAUUCACAGCAAUUUGAAAAUCUGGGAUGUGGAAAAUGGCGGAGUGUACCUGGAAAUGGAGUUCAGUAAUUCCACCUUCCACAUCAGUGCCCUUGUCCAUCCCAGCACCUACCUGAACAAAGUGGUUCUGGGCAGCAAGCAGGGCACCCUCCAGCUGUGGAACAUUCUGAAGGACCAGAUGUUGUACUCCUUCACCGGCUGGGGGAGCCCCAUCACCAUCCUCCAACAGUCUCCGGCCAUUGAUGUGAUUGCAGUGGGACUAGCAGAUGGACGGACAAUCCUACACAAUAUUAAGUACGACGAAACCAUCAUGCACUUUCAGCAGGACUGGGGACCAGUGUCGGCCAUCUCAUUCAGGACAGAUGGUCACCCUAUCAUGGUGACAGGAAGUACUGCUGGUCACAUAGCUCUUUGGAAUUUGGAGGAGAAAAAGCUCCAGAGUCAGAUCAGGAAUGCUCAUUACAGUGCUGUGUCUGGGAUGAAUUGUCUCCCGUCGGAACCCCUGAUGGUUACCUCAGCUGCAGACAACUCACUCAAGGUAUGGAUCUUUGAUUUACCUGAUGGGGGAGGCCGUUUACUACGACAACGAUCUGGUCAUAGCGCCCCGCCUAAUGUCAUACAUCACUAUGGAAACAACGGCAAAAAUGUUUUAAGUGCAGGUCAAGACAGUUUUUUGAAGUCCUUUUCCACCAUUCAUGAUUCGGAGAACAAGAGUUUAGGAAGAGCCAGUUUCAACAAGGCAGGGACUAAGAGGAUGGGGCUACAGAAAGACAAAUACAUGAUGCCCCCUAUCACUGCUUUUGCUGCAGAGGUCACUAGAGCCAGUGACUGGGACAGUAUCGUAGCCUGUCAUAGAGGCUUGUCUCAAGUCACGACCUGGAACUUCCAGAAAAGCACCAUGGGAAAACUGCGCCUAUGUCAUCCUAGAUUUGAAGAGAAAGAAUUUCAAACAGCUACAGCAAAGGUGUGUGGACAUUAGCAGCUGUGGAAACUUUUGUGUGAUUGGUUACAGCUCAGGUCAUGUGGACAAGUACAACCUCCAGUCAGGUAUACACAGGGGCUCCAUAGGGGAUCCAGCCCACCACUGCUGUGUGAUGGGGGUAGUGGUUGAUGGGAUGAACCAGAUACUAGUCACGGCGGGUCUUGAUGGAGAAAUCCGCUUCUGGGGGUUCAAGAAACACCAGCAAAUCGACAGCUUACGCACCGAUGGUUAUAUCUCUGGAAUUGUGCUGCACAGAGAUAGCUCCAUGCUCGCUGUUUCCCUAGACAAUUUCCAGAUCAUCGUGGUGGAUCUGGACACUCGUCGAGUGGUCAGGAAGUUUCAAGGUCACAGUAACAAGGUCACUGGGAUGUCCUUCAGCCCUGACGCUCGAUGGCUGAUCUCUGCUGGCAUGGACUGUACAGUGAGGACCUGGGAUCUACCCUCAGGAAGGUUGGUGGACUGUUUUAUGACAGAGAUGGCUGUAACCUCUCUGACAAUGUCUCCUACCGCAGACUUCCUGGUGACCUGCCACAUCGACAGCGUAGGUCUCUACACCUGGUACAACAAGACGCUUCUCUCUCUUGUCUCUCUUGCUCCUCUCCCCGAUGAUUAUCAACCACAGGAAGUUGACAUGCCGGAUACGCAAGUCACGGCCUCAGUCGACAGCCAGACAGGAGAAGACAACUCUAUGGAGGAUGAUCCUCAGGAUUAUGCCUCGCCUGAACAGCUGUCUGCAGAGUUAGUGACCUUGUCACUUCUCCCCAACUCCCGCUGGCAGAACCUGCUCAAUCUGGACGUCAUCAAGAUGAGAAAUAAACCCAAAGAACCUCCUAAAGUUCCCAAAGCUGCACCAUUUUUCCUACCCACUAUUUCCGGCCUACAGCCAAAGUUUGAUAUCCAAGACGACAAGGAAGAAGGGGACAAGAAGCAAUCACGUUCUGAUCUCUCGAGAUUUAAUUCUCUCAGCGAGCUUGGACGCAAACUAGAGGAGGGCAACGAAGGCCUGACUGCCCUGGAUUACCUGAAGGAGCUGGGUCCAUCUGCGGUGGACAGCGAGAUUCGGUGUCUGGGGCCUGAUGCAGGGGGAUCAGUGACCGUUAUGUGCCAGUUCCUGGACAUGAUCAGUUAUGUCUUGGACACAAAGAAAGACUUUGAGAUCAGCAAUGCAUACCUGGGACUGUUCUUAAAGAUUCAUGGAGAUACGAUAUCUAGCCAUCCGGAACUAGUGGAGGCUCUCAUACAGGUGAAACAGAAACUGAGUGAAACUUGGGGCUCCAUACAGGACUUAUUUACUCUAAAUCUGACACUUCUCACCCACUUAAGGACUGCCAAGAUCUGAGAGAGAGAGAGAGAGAGAGAGAGAGAGAGAGAGAGAGAGAGAGCGCAUUUAUUACUGUCAAGAGAAUCAUUAAAGAUUCAAACAAAUAGUG
rnacentral:misc_RNA from 1 species